ensembl:lncRNA
GUGAACAUAUAUAUUUAAAAAAAUAGCUCAGAUAUUCUAGACAGCCAUGAUUUUUAUUUUAUGAUAUAAUACAGUAUCUAUAAGAGUGAAUAAAUAAGGGGGUCCUGAUCAAACAGCGUGUCACUCUUAGCUCCGUGACAUCACAUGCCACUGUAGCCGGGCUUUUGGCUGUUCGUGUUUAAAUCUUUGGAAUGUUUGUGUUUAAAUCUUUGAAAUGCUUACUUUUAAAGACCUCUGGGAUUAUUCAGCUCUGCAUCGUCAGUGAUGAACUUCACGGGAGAAGAGGCAAUGGAGCUCUAGGAGGAAGAGCCUCAGCCCGGACGGAGCGGACUGUACGAGCCCUGGUGCGGAAGACGGUGGGAGGAAACAUCGUUUGACCCGCCGUUUGCUGCCGACAAGCUCCACUACAACACAGAGUAGACUACGAGGUUGAAGUCCACAUGCCUGACCAGCAUGAGGAGGAGCAAGAUGGUGGUGAUGAGCAUGAGGUGCCUUUUAGAUGCUCAUCCCCUUUACCAGGCCCAUCUGCUCUGAGAAUCUCACCCUUUUCCUAAGGCAGUCUCCUGUAAGAAGCCCACCCCCUUUGAGAAUCACCCCCCCUUUCAGUUAGCACCUCGUACUCACCACCUCGUCAUAAAAUGUGUAUUGUGUGUUCCCAGUUGUCUGUCUCCAGUUUCCAAAGUGGACAGUGAUGAUGGCACCCCUCAUCAUGAACGCGCUAACAUACCUGGCACAUUGUGGGCUACAUAAGGGUGAAGCAUGACAACUGACAAGAAAAAGAAGAAAAGUGCAAAAGUGCCAAUGAAAGUGGCUGUGGUACCGCACACUCUUCACUCUGCUUCACCAAUAUAUGGCAAACAAGCUCCUGUAGAAACUCAGGACAAACUAAAGGUUGGUCGCGCUGGUAAAUUACAAGGAAAUCUAAAGAAAAAUAAAUUUGAACUUGGUACAAAAUUCAUGCCAUCCUCUUACCUCUUCUGGUAUCUCCAUUAAGUUCAGCACUCUACCUCAGUGGUAAACACUACAGCAAAGCUAAAGGUUAGUUUCGCUGUUCAAGAACAAGUAAAUCUAAAGGCUAGUCGCUUGAACCUUUAAUAAAAAUGUCAUGUUGUUCCACCCGGCUCAAGAGUUUUGUUUUGUCUUACCCUUCUUGCUCCUUCAAUCACAGUAUCCCUGCCUUGAGACACAGAAGCUCCUGUACAAGUUCAGGUCUGUACUUCGUUUGUAAACUCUAAGGCAAAACCAGCUGAAAAACUAAAUGUUAGUCACUCUGGUAAAUUACAAAGAAAUCGAAAGGCGACGAACUUGAACUUUGUACAAAAGUCAUGCCACUCCACUGUGCUAAAAACCUGUGUCUUUUCUUACCUCUUCUGCUCUCUCCAUUAUGGGGAACCUGACUGGAGGUAAACACGCUCCUGUACAAGUUCAGGACUCGGUGAUGAAGACUACAGCAAAAAUAAAGGUUAGUCACUCUGUUGAAGGAAAUCUAAAGGAUAGUCAUAUAAACUUUUUUUAAUGUAAUGUUCUUCCCCUACACUAAAGAGUUUUGUUUUGUCUUACCUCUCUUGCUACCUUAAUCACUGUGAACCUGACUUGAGACACAGAAGCUCCUGUACAAGUUCAGGACAAGACCAUUUCUGUAAACACUAGGGCAAAACUAAAGGGAAAUAAGCUCCUAUACAAGUUCAGGUGACCAGUCAGGACUUGACCUCUGAGGUAAACACUAUAGUGAAAGCAGUGAAAAAACUAAAGUCUAGACACAAUGACAAACUUAUUGUCCAAAUCUAAAAUCUAGGAACCUGAACUUUUAGAACAGUCUUGGUGCUCUACUAUGACUCACACUUAUUUGUCUUUUUUCUUUUUUUCUUUUUACCUCUUCUGCUCUCUCCAUUAUGGGGAACCUGACUGGAGGUAAACACGCUCCUGUACAAGUUCAGGACUCUGUGAUGUAGACUACGGCAAAAAUAAAGGUUAGUCUUGCUGUUCAAGGAACUCUAAAGGAUAGUCAGUUGAACCUUUAAUAAAAUCGCCAUGUUGUUCCACUCGGCUAAACGGUUUUGUCUUUUCUUAUUUCUCUUGCUACCUUAAUCACAGUGUCCCUGUCUUGAGGUAAACACACUCCUGUACAAGUUCAGGACUAGACCUUUUCUCUAAACACUAGGGCAAAACUAAGGGUAGUCACUUUGGUAAAUUGAAAGAAAAAUCUAAAGGCAAUGCACUUGAAUUUUUCAUGCCACUCCACUAUGCUAAAAACUUUUCUUAUCUCUUUUGCUAUCUCCAUUAUGGGGAACCUGACUGGAGGAACAGAAGCUCCUGUACAAGUUCAGAACUUGGUGAUGAAGACUACGGCAAAACCACCGGCAAAAAUGAAGAUUAGUCACUCUGUUCAAGGAAAUGUAAAGGAUAGUCACUUGAACCUUUAAUAAAAGUGUCAUGUUGUUCCACUCGGC